CAACAACUCCAACAACAACAACUCCAACAACAACCGUUCAAGUCUCUCUUCCAGUGGUUUUUGGAAUGCAGGUGUAUGUCACAUCCACAGUUGAACUUAAUCAAGAAACAAUUCAGCCGUUUAUAACCCAGUUGUCAUAUAUCAUCCACCAAUAUCUGAUUGGACCCUAUCGUAUCACUGUGAAAAAUAUACGGCAAGCUUGACAUCACAUGUUGUUUUCUCUUGGACAAUCUCACAUUCUAUAACUUAAGAAGCCACAAUGAGGUAAUUGUGCACAGCAAGCCAUUUAUGCAAUUAAAGUGAGACUAAUGUGGGCGGUGGUGGUAUUUUAAACUCCUUGAUUACUUUUCAAAUCUAUUAAUUUGGACACAUUUAAUUGGCCUUGUAAUGCUGUAGUAUUAUAUCAAUAAUUAUUAUGUGCUAUGUACAAUAUGAUAAUACUUUAUUGUCAGAUUUCUCUGAAAUUUGUUGUGCAUCACAAGUAAUACCUUUCAUGUC